rnacentral:rRNA from 1 species
AACGCGAAGAACCUUACCUGGGCUCGAAAUGUUAUGGACCGGGGUAGAAAUAUCCCUUCCCCGCAAGGGGCCGUAAUAUAGGUGCUGCAUGGCUGUCGUCAGCUCGUGUCGUGAGAUGUUGGGUUAAGUCCCGCAACGAGCGCAACCCUUAUCUUCAGUUGCUACCAUUUAGUUGAGCACUCUGACGAAACCGCCUCGGAUAACGGGGAGGAAGGUGGGGAUGACGUCAAGUCCUCAUGGCCUUUAUGUCCAGGGCUACACACGUGCUACAAUGGCCGGUACAAACCGUCGCAAACCCGUGAGGGGGAGCUAAUCGGAAAAAGCCGGCCUCAGUUCGGAUCGCAGUCUGCAACUCGACUGCGUGAAGCUGGAAUCGCUAGUAAUCGCGGAUCAGAAUGCCGCGGUGAAUACGUUCCCGGGCCUUGUACACACCGACUGUAC